UUAUUUUUGUCAUUAUUAAAAUGAACUGUAGAAAUCUAUUUACCAUGAAUUUAAUUAAAGUUUAUUCGUAUAGCACUUUUUAUGAUACAAAACUUUGCAAAGCAACUUUACAGAAAAUUACGUUUCUACAAUAUUUAGUAGUAGCUUAUCUGUGGUGAUGGUCAGUUUAUGUACAUAUGGCAGAAAUGUAAGGAAAAAUCAAUUACAGACGUAAUCAAUCAGAUGAUUAACAGCAAUUAUUACAUGAUGCAAUCAAACUUAUAGCAAAAUUUGGUAGUUCUGUAUGUUGUUUCAGGGUUGGCAUCAUCUCUUCUCAGGUGUUCUGGAUCCAGACUGAAGCUUGUGUAAUUCCUAGUUACCCGUGGCAAAAACAGAGAAACAAAUAGAGACAUAAUUAGCAUAGCUGCUGUUCCAACCAAGUAAAAUUAAUUUGUUAUUUAUUAUCGUCUAUUAUACUGUAUGUACAUUGCAGUUUUAAUGUAUUUUUAAAUACAUUAUAGAUUACACACAGUUUUGAUGGCUGCAACAUCACUCACUCUUAUGCAUGCAAAAAAGCACUGUUCACACAAAACCGUUUUUUAAAACUCUCUCGUCUACACUCACACACAUACACACACACACACAUAAGGGUGUGCGGAGGUAAUGUGUUUGCAGGGUCACGUUCUGGUUUUGUUAGGUCAGCCAUAAAGAAGAAAGGGAGAGAGAGGAAGAAAUGGAAGGAAGGGAAAUGGAUGAGUGUGCAGGAGCGAUGGAGGGAUGGAGGGAGAUAUUGACACACUCGCUCUUUUAAUUUCCCACAUCAAAGGCCUGUUUGAAGACACAGCUGGGAAAAGAAUAAAAGAAAGAGUGAAGUUAGUCACUCACCGACUCUCUCUGCCUGCAUGCCCUGAUGGGGGUCUCUUGGGUGGUUGAUGAGAAAGAAGAGGUGUGUCCUGACCAACUACAAUCUGGCAAGCCCCCUUCACCUUUCCCAACCCGUGUGCCCCUCUACAGACGUCAGAGAGCAAGUGAGUGUGUUAAUGGCUCUAUGGGAAAAGCAAAAGGGGGAAGAGAGAGAAAGAAUGACACACUGCGGGAAGAUAAUCACUGGGCAAUAAAGUGACGUCUCAGAAUCUGUCUCACAAUGCUGCAGACACAAGCCUGUAAGAACGCACGUGCACAGGAAACCACACAUAAACACUGCUGGAUUACACCACUGCCAAAUGAUACUGGGUCAAUAAAUGUGCUGUAUAUAAGCUAAUAAGUACA
ensembl:lncRNA